rnacentral:rRNA from 1 species
CAGUCGCGCGGUAAUACGGAGGGUGCAAGCGUUAAUCGGAAUUACUGGGCGUAAAGCGCACGCAGGCGGUCUGACAAGUCAGAUGUGAAAUCCCCGGGCUUAACCUGGGAACUGCAUUUGAAACUGUCAGGCUGGAGUCUUGUAGAGGGGGGUGGAAUUCCAGGUGUAGCGGUGAAAUGCGUAGAGAUCUGGAGGAAUACCGGUGGCGAAGGCGGCCCCCUGGACAAAGACUGACGCUCAGGUGCGAAAGCGUGGGGAGCAAACAGGAUUAGAUACCCGCGUAGUCCCUGUCUCUUAUACA